AAUGAACGCUGGCGGCGCGCCUAAUACAUGCAAGUCGAGCGAGAAGACGUAGCAAUACGUUUGUAAAGCGGCGAACGGGUGAGGAAUACAUGGGUAACCUACCCUCGAGUGGGGAAUAACUAGCCGAAAGGUUAGCUAAUACCGCGUACGCUCCUUGGACUUCGGUUCAGGGAGGAAAGCGAUACCGUGGGUAUCGCGCUCUUGGUUGGGCUCAUAUCCUAUCAGCUUGUUGGUGAGGUAACGGCUCACCAAGGCUUCGACGGGUAGCUGGUCUGAGAGGACGAUCAGCCACACUGGCACUGCGACACGGGCCAGACUCCUACGGGAGGCAGCAGUAAGGAAUAUUGCGCAAUGGGCGAAAGCCUGACGCAGCGACGCCGCGUGGGGGAUGAAGGUCUUCGGAUUGUAAACCCCUUUCGGGAGGGAAGAUGGAAUGGGGUAACCCAUUCGGACGGUACCUCCAGAAGCAGCCACGGCUAACUUCGUGCCAGCAGCCGCA
rnacentral:rRNA from 1 species